UGGCGAAGCAGCCCGGAGCCAGCGCUGUUUGUCCCGUCAGCUGGCCGGCAGCUUGGGAAAACAGCCGGGAAGGUGCUGGGAGGCACCUCGGGCACCAGCAGAGAUAACGCUGAAUUUGCAGAUGCCUUUGGGGAAUGGAAGAGACACAGCUGACAAAUCUGGAAGGCGAGGAGGAGGCAGCGAGAACCGGCAGCAGCUCCCAGGUUAUCACUUUGUUGAAACCAGCAGCCCCGCUCCGCGGUGCCCGGAGGAGCAUGCUCCCGCUUGCCCUUGUAAGCCGGUCCUCCCGUGUCCCAGCAGCAUCACGGCUGGGGGCACCCGGCCCGGGAGAAACAAGCCCAAGCGGCACAGCCCGGGGAGGACACUCACUGCACGUGUUUUUAAGCCAAAUGUGGCUCCUGGAAUCAACAGAGAGGGAGAUUCCUCUGCAGCCUGGGGAGCCAUCCUGUCCACGUUCUUCCCUGGGACCUUCAAAGGAGCGGAGGAAUCCAAUUCCCACUCAUUUGCUUUGAAAACACCAACCUAAAAUUGUAAUGAUGGCAUGCUGUAUUACAGGGGAGGAAAGAACCCACCAGACUAGCUACAUUGUUUUCCUAAGACCGGGGUGUUGAUGAUUUAAUAAGACUUACAUUUUUAACAAUAUUAUGUUGGUUAAUGUUGGAAGGUGUUCCUACAAUUAAUGAAAAUUUCAUAGACUGACUGGGGAAGAAAGAGCCCAUUUUAUGUCCCCUACCAGAUGGCCUGAGCCAGCUGCUCACUCUUUUUCUUUGAACUGUGAUUCUAAUGACUUCUCCGUCCUUUGAAGUCGGUCUCUGAGCUGCUGAACCAGAUGUAUUUGCAUGAUAGUAGCAGAGCAUGGUUAACAGUUGCCGACUUUUGCUAUUUUCCCUCAUGGCCACUGCUGGAUACUGCAAUGUUUGCUUUUAUUUGGGGUGAGGGCUUUCUAGGCGCUGGUAAAAUGCGUCUUGGUGUAACAUCGCUGGCUGCAGUGAGUUAUUCCCUAAAUCCACAGCGUCUUUACGCAGCUCUCAGCUGGUUUCAUUGCUCUAUAAACCCAGGCGGCAGUGUGAGUCUGCUUUCAGUCACAGAUUUAUUAGGGCCUCACAGAAGCGGGGGCUGCUGUCAGAAAUGUGAAUUUCAGCACCGAUUUAAAAACAGAGAACGAGAAGAAAGGAAGAGCUUUAAAUAUGUAUUAAGAAGUUUUAAAAAGAAUAAAUCACAAAAUAAAAUAAGUCUUUUU